rnacentral:lncRNA from 1 species
AGAACUGGGCUGAGAAGUCACAGUGGGCAGGGACUGUGUGAGAUGCUCCUAGAGGACACUCCAACACUCUGCUCUGACGUCUCCCAUGAUCCAUGACCUUCACACAGGGAGCACUGAUGCCACCUCCUUAGUGUCACUCAGCACUCAGGUGCUCCUGAACACACUGAAGGGACAGCAGAUGAGGAGCCAGCUGACACUGAGAUUGGACAGGGACUGUUCCUUACCGCAGGCGGCUCCGCUCACCCUCCAGCUCCUCCACCUUCAACCUGCAAGGAGACCAUGACAUAACCAGGUGCCACUGCAGUCCAGCACAGAUGGAAGGUCAUGGCCCUAGUGGGAGGACAGCAGUGGACAGCACUUACUUAGGUCUAAGGAAGGACUCAAGCCAGGGGUUCUUGGCUGACCCUGAAGCUUGGCUAGAAUCAGGUAAGGAAUCUGUCUCAGGCCCCCUGGUUCACCCUGGAGAGUGACCACAGGCUAGAGGAGAAACUGCAAAUGGAAAAGCAACUCAGGAGUCUUUAGAACUGUGGUUCUCAAACCUUCCUAAUUUGUUGUGCUGCAACCCUUUAAUACAGUUCCUCAUGUUGUGCUGACCACUGACCAUAAAAUGGAGCAGUUCCUAAAAUCUGUGUAGUUUAAGAGUCCAUAACAAAGUAGCCAGACAGCUACAAGGGGCUAAAAGGAAAGGAAGUGUCCAGAGAGCACUUCAGGACUAAAGGAGAAACCAGAACAAGCCAAGAGCAAAGCUUUGGCCACUUGGAAAUGUAACAACACACACUAAAUACACUGCUCAAAGAAAGUAAAGGAAAUUAGCAAACACAUUGAACUGGACAUAGCGUAUCCAGGAAAGCCAGGCUUAGAGACAGAAUGUAUCCAAUGCUCUCAUCUCAAGUCAACAAGCCAGGCUUCCCCUUUAAGGAAAGGCUGAGCGUGAUGGGUAUGCACCUGUGAGCCAGCUGAAAUGGAGGAAGAGGGGGCGGGGAAUUCAAGGGCAGUUUUAUGAGCUAGGAUCUUACUGUGUAGUUCUGGCUGGCUUGAAGUAGGACACAGAACACUCCAGAACAGACCUAAUGCAUGGCCACAAAACAAGUCUUAGUAUAUUCAUUUAGUAGAAUGCCUGCCAUAAAUGAAGUUGGAGAUCAAUGGCAGAGGAACUGUAAAGACAGUAAUUCAACAGGGGUUAGGGAGAUGGCUUUGUGGGUGAUUGCUUUGAAGGCCUGAGAACUUGAGUUCUAUUCCAUGAACUGUGGAAUUUUAGUUUCUUUUAAAAAACCACAGAAAUACUAUAAGAAUAUGUUUUCAUUUUAAUCCCAGGUGUGGGGAUAUAGAGCUGCUUCAGAUCGUCCACGUUAGCAGACUAUGAUCUGCCUUGUGCUCUGGCAGGGGCAUGAUUUUGCCAGCUGCAGAUAGAUUCUGUGACUGUGUGACAUUUGGAAUUCCUGGGACUCCUUAGAGGGUAUAUAAAUGCUAGGUCCUGAGAGGUGUGAUGUGGGUUGUUGGCUGGUUGUUAGUUAUGGUCUGUUAAGCAGUCAUAUGCAAAGAAGAAACAACUACAAGAAGAAAUUAGACAUCCUGAUGGAGAAGAUCAAAGUUGCCCCAAGGAACUCAGUGCCCCUAACCAGCGGUUAGUAGUCUAAUGAAAACACCACCCACCUUUCAACCCCCCUCUGUCUCUCUUUCUGUCUCUCUUUCUCUCUGUGUGCCUUUCUCUUCUCUCUGUGAGUCUCUGUCUCUCUUUGUCUCUUUCUCUGUCUCUUAUCUAGUGUUAGGGUGUUGAAAUGGUAGGGAAAAAAGGGGAUGGGAAAUGGUAGAAGAAAACCUACUAAGUAGCAAAAUUCAGCUACAUUAUUGUUCCAGCACUGCCAUGAAAAGCUGGGGAUGCUGAUGCGCACUUGUGAUCCCAGUGCGGGAGAGACUGAGACUAGAGCAGUGGUUCUCAACCUGUGGGAUAUGUGUCAAAAAACCCUUUCACAGGGGUCACGUAAGACCAAUGGAAAACACAGAUAUUUACAUUAGGAAUUGUAAUGGUAGCAAAAUUACAGUUAUGAAGUAGCAAUGAAAAUAAUUUUAUGGUUGGGAAUCACCAUAACACAAGCUGUACUAAAGUGUCACAGUAUUAAGAAGGUUGAGAACCAAUUGGUGAGCUCCUGGCCAUUGAGAGAUUCUGGCUCAAAUGGCAGAUGUUAGACUCUAUGAGGACUGAUGCCUGAAGCUGAACUGGCUCACACAUAUACAUACUCAACCACACACCUAUGGGCAGAGGCUGAAGGAGAGUAAAUGCAAAUGACUUCC